rnacentral:rRNA from 1 species
AGAGGAGCUUGCUCUUCUUGGAUGAGUUGCGAACGGGUGAGUAACGCGUAGGUAACCUGCCUUGUAGCGGGGGAUAACUAUUGGAAACGAUAGCUAAUACCGCAUAACAAUGGAUGACCCAUGUCAUUUAUUUGAAAGGGGCAAAUGCUCCACUACAAGAUGGACCUGCGUUGUAUUAGCUAGUAGGUGAGGUAACGGCUCACCUAGGCGACGAUACAUAGCCGACCUGAGAGGGUGAUCGGCCACACUGGGACUGAGACACGGCCCAGACUCCUACGGGAGGCAGCAGUAGGGAAUCUUCGGCAAUGGGGGCAACCCUGACCGAGCAACGCCGCGUGAGUGAAGAAGGUUUUCGGAUCGUAAAGCUCUGUUGUAAGUCAAGAACGAGUGUGAGAGUGGAAAGUUCACACUGUGACGGUAGCUUACCAGAAAGGGACGGCUAACUACGUGCCAGCAGCCGCGGUAAUACGUAGGUCCCGAGCGUUGUCCGGAUUUAUUGGGCGUAAAGCGAGCGCAGGCGGUUUGAUAAGUCUGAAGUUAAAGGCUGUGGCUCAACCAUAGUUCGCUUUGGAAACUGUCAAACUUGAGUGCAGAAGGGGAGAGUGGAAUUCCAUGUGUAGCGGUGAAAUGCGUAGAUAUAUGGAGGAACACCGGUGGCGAAAGCGGCUCUCUGGUCUGUAACUGACGCUGAGGCUCGAAAGCGUGGGGAGCGAACA